GGUGGAAACAUAGACAGACUAAAGAAAAGCAGGGAAGCCUCUGCCAUGCAUCUCAGACAUUAACAGAUGACAUUCACAGCUUUUGGCAGUGCAGAGAGUCAAACUCAGAGUCUCACAAAGGAGAACAAAACUGUGAAUACUGUAUUCUCAUGAGAAGAACAAUCCGGAGUCUGAACAAACAGUCCCUCGCAGAGGAUAAAGCUUGAGAGUGACAAGAUGCCGACAGAUUAUGACAGCUGCUGUGCUGCCUGACCUGGAACAUUUAUGCAGUUUCUAAAAGUGCAUAGGAAGCACAUUUUAUCAUCGCAUCCAGGGCAUCAACCUUAUAUUUUGAGGUGUUCAUUACCCACAAUCCCAUGGGCUCUGGGAAGACAUCAAAACUGGAGUUCAUUAGUUAACAUUUUAAAAGGACACGAUUUGAAGAUGCUCCCCCCAGGUGCCCUGAUUUCAGCAAAUUUUGCUUCAUAUGCCAAGUGCUGAAAACAGCUAACACCACUAUUAUUAUCCACAAGGAAAUCCACCCACCACGCGGACCUGUGCCAAGGAACCAGUCUGAAAUGCUGACAGCAUCGCAAGGCUUUCCAACUGCAGGGACACGGAAGCAGCUGCGGUUUUCCUCACCAACGCAGAUGGCAAAAAGGGAGUGUGUUUGUUGGUACUCAAGAGGGUGGUUACAGGAUGGGAAAGCCGGAAAGAACUUCUGCAGAUGUACCCAGCCAUGCAGCAGUUAGUUCCAAAUACUAGUUACUUGCCUCUCACAUCUCCCACCUGCUCCUUGUCUGAUUGCUCGUUCUCGAAUCCUUCAGUUACCAUCUACCCAAUGAUCCAUGCUGUAAAACUGCAAAAUUUGGAUUUUCCUGUCCACUGUCCAUCAGAGUGAGAAAACUUCAACUCCAUCCUUCACCUCUGGCUCACACCUAUACUCCCCUGCCCUCACAUUUCUCUAGAUGCCUGCUGGAGGGUUUCCUUAGGUUUGUGUUUGAUCUUAAUGAAUUAUUAAGACAGUAUUCUAUCUUUAGUAAUGAUGUGAUGAUGUGUUAGAGAGACUUGAUGUUGGAAAACCCAAACCAUUAAUUUAGAAAAUAAAAAAUAAAAA
rnacentral:lncRNA from 1 species